UGGGGAAUAUUGCACAAUGGGCGCAAGCCUGAUGCAGCCAUGCCGCGUGUGUGAAGAAGGCCUUCGGGUUGUAAAGCACUUUCAGCGAGGAGGAAGGGUAGUGUGUUAAUAGCACAUUGCAUUGACGUUACUCGCAGAAGAAGCACCGGCUAACUCCGUGCCAGCAGCCGCGGUAAUACGGAGGGUGCAAGCGUUAAUCGGAAUUACUGGGCGUAAAGCGCACGCAGGCGGUUUGUUAAGUCAGAUGUGAAAUCCCCGCGCUUAACGUGGGAACUGCAUUUGAAACUGGCAAGCUAGAGUCUUGUAGAGGGGGGUAGAAUUCCAGGUGUAGCGGUGAAAUGCGUAGAGAUCUGUAGGAAUACCGGUGGCGAAGGCGGCCCCCUGGACAAAGACUGACGCUCAGGUGCGAAAGCGUGGGGAGCAAACA
rnacentral:rRNA from 1 species